GUUCUUACUUUCAUUACACUCGGAGAAUAACAAAAGCAAAGCAAUGCAGAGCCUGCUUUUCUAGGGUGCCCCAGAGGACCAACUGGAUCUUACAUUAAAGCUAAUGUUGAGGAACUAGCUUUUGGUUGGAUAUGUGGUACUUGAUGAAUGAUGGGAGACCCCUUCGAUUCUAACCAUCAAGAAGUGGGGGCUGCAACUGUAGAUGGCAAUAGAAUUUCCUUUCAUGGUUUACUAGAAAGGCAAAUCAACAAGCUUAUGGUUGUUGUAGAGAUGAAAGAAGAGUUGGAAUCUAGGGUUUAUCAAGGGUGAUUGUCAAGGCAAAUCAAUAUGAGGACCAUUGGUUUCUGCUAUAGAGAACUCGUUUGUAUUUGUUAAUGAGGCCCUUCAUUCGACAUUGAGUUGUUUAAUGUUGUGGCUCAUGGAAAGAAAAAAAAAAGUUCAAUGUUGUGGUUUGAAACAUCCUUGUUAUGCAGAACUUAGUAAAUUGGUUUCCACUUACAACAACUUAAUUGUUAAUUAGAAUAAUAUGAGUGGCUACAUUUUUUA